GGUAACUUAGUCUUAUACUCAUUAUUAAUGGAUCACCAACCUAUUCAUCUAUAUUAAUAUUCAAGAAGAGUUUAUCAUAUCUCCCCGUCACCCCAACCAAACAAUUUUAACUUAAAUAAAAGCUCUUCCCAAGUUUACUUAUAAUUAUGAACUGUCAAACUCUAUAGGGUCUUCUCGUCCUCCAAUUUUAUUUUAGCCUUUUAACUAAAAAGUUAAAUUUUAAUUCAAUCCCCAUGAGACAGUUAACACCUCGUCCAACCAUUCAUACCAGCCCCUAAUUAAGAGACUAAUGAUUAUGCUACCUUUGCACGGUCAAAAUACCGCGGCCCUUCAAUCUUCAGUGGGCAGGUUAGACCUCUUAUAUUGCCAAGAAGCGAUGUUUUUGAUAAACAGGCGAGCGUCAAUUUGCCGAAUUCCUUAUGAAAACCUACCCUAUCUAAUACUCUUACAAACUCUUAUAUUAAUUUUACCAUUAUUACCUAUUUCCACAUGUUAUCAAUAACACUUUGAUACAUAAAUUAAACCUUUCAAAAUUAAACCUCUCUCCCAAUAAACUAUAACGUUAUUACUAAAUAGCUGAUUUCAAGCCUAUUCCUUUGGACCUUAAAUCUUGUUAUAACCCUAUCUUGAAGCUUAUCCCCCAAGAUAUUAAUAAUAAACACCUAGGUCAAUUUAAACUUAUCAACCUAACACCCCUAUCUGAAUUCAAUCCAUUUCUCAAAGAACUAGAAACCUUUAAAUUCGUUUAACAUCUCAUUUCUAAGAUAGCAUUAUUGAUAAAUUUGCAACUUUAACCAAACUGCUAUCUUAGCUCAUUUAAAAUCGAGAAAACAAAAUCUUUCACUUCAUUUAAUAAACCCUGAUACACAAGGUACAAUAUUUAAUCUACUUUUCAUCAACUCCCUUUUCACAUAUUUCACCCUUCCUCCUCAGUACUAUCUUUAUUACUAUCCUUAUUAUUUCUAUACCCAAUACUUCAACUUAAACACUUACAUUGAUUUACCUACUCAAUCCCUAAUCCUCUAACACUUUUUAUUAUCUUCCCUCUCAAAAUAAAUUGAAUUGCACAAUAACCUUUCAAUGUAAAUGAAACGCUUUACUCAACAAGCUCUA
rnacentral:rRNA from 1 species